rfam:Gonium pectorale scaffold00026, whole genome shotgun sequence.
GCCGUGUGGCCUAAUGGAUAAGGCGUCACCCUCCGAUAUAUCGCGGAUGCAGGUGAAGAUUGUGGGUUCGAGUCCCAAUUUUCGGUG